rnacentral:lncRNA from 1 species
AAAAUCACCUUAUGGAUAUACAAGGUUUUAUGAUAUUUUUAUCAUAUUUUUGGUGAUUUUUGAUAUUUGGGGCUUGUGUAUUGAUGUAAUUGCUUCUAUAGGGAAAUUUUUAUAUAUAAACUUGGUGAUUUUUUAAUCUAAGGCUUGGUUGAAUAAUUAGUAAUAGCUAGAAGACUAGCUCUUUCUUAAAGUAAAUUCUCUCUAUUCUGACAACAUGUUUAGUAUCACAAUCUUGGAAGGAACACUUGAUAUUUUGUGAUUUUUUUAGAGGUUGAAACAAUUCCUAAUGGUAUUUCAAAUAUUUUAUUUGAAAAA